CCUACGGGAGGCAGCAGUGGGGAAUAUUGGACAAUGGGGGCAACCCUGAUCCAGCCAUGCCGCGUGUGUGAAGAAGGCCCUCGGGUUGUAAAGCACUUUCAGUGAGGAAGAACGCCUGGUGGUUAAUACCCAUCAGGAAAGACAUCACUCACAGAAGAAGCACCGGCUAACUCCGUGCCAGCAGCCGCGGUAAUACGGAGGGGGCGAGCGUUAAUCGGAAUUACUGGGCGUAAAGCGCGCGUAGGUGGCUUGAUAAGCCGGUUGUGAAAGCCCCGGGCUCAACCUGGGAACGGCAUCCGGAACUGUCAAGCUAGAGUGCAGGAGAGGAAGGUAGAAUUCCCGGUGUAGCGGUGAAAUGCGUAGAGAUCGGGAGGAAUACCAGUGGCGAAGGCGGCCUUCUGGACUGACACUGACACUGAGGUGCGAAAGCGUGGGUAGCAAACAGGAUUAGAUACCCCGGUAGUC
rnacentral:rRNA from 1 species